GAGAGAGAGAGAGAGAGAGAGAGAGAGAGAGAGAGAGACACGAGGCAAAGAAAGACAGGAAGACAAAUGGAAAAGUAAAACCAGGAGAUUAGCCAAGUCCCCCCCAUGCUUGCCUCCACACACACACACACACACACACACACACACACACACACACCGUCUCUAACCUCCCUCCUCCACCAGUCUCUUUCCUCGCCUUCCCGUCCACCCAUCCACCAUAUUUCACUCCACUCGUUUGCCUUCAGUUCAAUUCUAACGUGAUUUCUAUUUUGUUCAACUUUCCUAUUCAAUCUUUCUUUCAUCCGUGUUUUCCUUUCCCUGUACCGCCCUCACCUCAACCCAUCUACUUUCCCUCUCCUCCUAACCCCUUCACCAUCUACUUUUCUUCAGCCUCCCUCAUCUCACACUAUCUACCUUCGUUUCAUCUCCCUCCUCUCUACCCGUCUACUUUCCUUCUGUCUUCUCUUUGCAUUUUUUUUUACAGCAAAGGAGACAGCACAAGGGCAUAUACCGUCUCAAGUACUGUAUUCGAGAAGGAUGAGAUAGUUAGUCAGGAUCUACCCUUACUGAAUCCAUGCUGCUUGUCGAACGCCUUACUUAAAUAAAAAUGUAUUAUAUCAUAGUUUUCAUCUGCAUAUACCGCCUCAAGUACUGUGUUCGAGAAGGAUGAGAUAGUUAGUCAGGAUCUACCCUUACUGAAUCCAUGCUGCGAGUCAUAAGUCAAGCUAUGCCUCUGUAAAUGGCUCUUCUAUCUCCCUCCACUCAAUCCAUCUCCUUCUCUUGAAUCUCUCUCACCACAACCUCCAAGUAUGCCUCCCCCCCUCCCCCCCCCACUUUACCUCACCUCUCCACUGUCAAAGAGCUCACUAAUAUCUUUAUCUAAACGUCUUAAGUAAGGUUACGUUAGGUUAGGAAGGUGAGGUAAGGUAGAGCAAGGUAAGGUAGGAUAAGGUAAGGUCGGGUAAUGUUAGUUUAUGUCAGGUUAGGUAAGGUAAGGUGGGGUAAGGUAAGGUUAGGUAAGGUAAGGAAAGCCAAGGUCAGGUUAGGUAAGGUAAGGUAAGGAAAGCCAAGGUCAGGUUAGGUAAGGUAAGGUAAGGAAAGCCAAGGUCAGGUUAGGUAAGGUAAGGUUAGGUUAGGUAAGGUAAGGAAAGCCAAGGUCAGGUUAGGUAAGGUAAGGUUAGGUAAGGAAAGGUCAGGUCAGGUAAGGUAAGGUAAGGUAACGUCCCAUUCUCACCCAGGGUUUUGUCUUGUACUGUCUUAAAGAAUCGCCCGGGAUCGCUUUAGGCCUCUCUAGCAACACUUCAUAAUUUCGUUUCACUGUUAAUGUAUUGGUUAGUUCAGUGUGUUUAUCAUUUAUUCAUCUACGAGUUUAUUUGUUUGUUUAUUUUCCUGUUUACUCCACUCUCUAAUCCUAACGCAUUCUUCCCUCCCCUUGUUCCCUCAAUCCUCUCCUCCCGGAAUUGACCUCUGUUUUUGGACACUCCUUUGACCUCUGUUCGGGAGCAGUGAGUAGGCCUUUUUUUUUUUCUUUUAUUCUUUACGCCCUUGAACUGUCUCCUUAGCUGUAAAGAAUAAAAAAAGUCCGUUCUCUCCUUCUAUCCUGUUCUCCCUCCUUCCCUCCCUUCCUUCUCUCCUCCAUUCCCUCCUUCACUCUUCUCCUCUCUUCCUCCAGCUUAUCCCUCUAAUCUCCACUGCUUCCUAUCUCCUUCUUCCUCCUCCUCCUCUUCCUCCUCCUCCUCC